CAGUAGCCGCGGUAGUACGGAGGGGGCUAGCGUUGUUCGGAAUUACUGGGCGUAAAGCGCACGUAGGCGGCGAUUUAAGUCAGAGGUGAAAGCCUGGAGCUCAACUCCAGAACUGCCUUUGAGACUGGAUUGCUUGAAUCACGGAGAGGUGGGUGGAAUUCCGAGUGUAGAGGUGAAAUUCGUAGAUAUUCGGAAGAACACCAGUGGCGAAGGCGGCCCACUGGACGUGUAUUGACGCUGAGGUGCGAAAGCGUGGGGAGCAAACAGGAUUAGAUACCCCCGUAGUCCCUGUCUCUUAUAC
rnacentral:rRNA from 1 species